GCGAACGUAGUUCAGUGGUAGAACAUCACCUUGCSAAGGUGAGGGUCGCGGGUUCGAACCCCGUCGUUCGCU
rnacentral:tRNA from 1 species